rnacentral:rRNA from 1 species
UACGGAGGGUGCAAACGUUGCUCGGAAUCAUUGGGCGUAAAGCGCACGUAGGCGGUCCUUUAAGUCGGGUGUGAAAGCCCUCGGCUCAACCGAGGAAGUGCAUUCGAAACUGGGGGACUUGAAUACUGGAGAGGAUGGCGGAAUUCCCCGGUGUAGAGGUGAAAUUCGUAGAUAUCGGGAGGAACACCAGCGGCGAAGGCGGCCAUCUGGACAGAUAUUGACGCUGAGGUGCGAAAGCGUGGGGAGCAAACAG